rnacentral:rRNA from 1 species
UACAGAGGGUGCAAGCGUUGUUCGGAAUUAUUGGGCGUAAAGCGCGUGUAGGCGGCUUGGCAAGUCGGGAUGUGAAAGGCCCUCAGCUCCAACUGAGGAAGUGCGCCCGAAACUGGCUGGCUUGAGUGCCAGAGAGGGAUGGCGGAAUUCCGGUGGUAGUGGUGAAAUGCGUAGAUAUCGGGAGGAACACCGAGUGGCGAAGGCGACUACCUGGCCUGUUCUUGACGCUGAGGCGGCGAAAGCUGAGGGGAGCAAACGGGG